GCCCCUUUUCUCAUGUAUUUUGUCUUAAGCCAACAAAACCUCAUAGCCUCCGCCUAAUUAGAACCCCAAAACACCUCAUCGGAAAUCAAAUCAUCAUCUUCUCAUCGUAUACCUAUCGUCGCCAUAAUCCAAUCCAUAGAUCUACCACCGGCCAGUCGAGGCAAAUUUUUCAAUACUGGAGGAACUAAACUCACGUAUUUAAGGAGAAAAACGACCUUUUCGAACAUGUAGAGUUUCUUAAAGAGUUCUAAAAUUUUCAAGAUACUUUAUCAUCUAUUAUUUGGUUUGUAUUAUAACAUCAGUGAUUUUAUAAUAUAUUUAAUAGUUUUUUUUUUCAAGACUUGUGUUUAAUUUCAGAAGUUAUAUGGAAGAUUCAGCAUGAUUAUGGUGCGCUCUAUUGGUGGCAACGGUUUUCUAAUCAAAGGAAGGACAUAUCCAUGUUUAUGUAAGCAUUUAUUUGCCUUUUUUUAGUUGGUAGUUAUACUUUCUUAGCUAGUAUGAUGGAUUUCAAUGAUAGAGAUAAUGUUUUUUGGGGCUUACUUUUAAAUUCGCUGUAUUUAUGAAUUUGUUAACAAAGGUGUGCAUUUUUAUUAGUAUAGUUGGAAUAUUUGAUUGCUUAGUGUAGUGGCAUUAGGCCUAGUAUAACAUAUAAUAUUUAUUUGUAACUUUUAAAAAAUGUUAAGCUUGCAGUGAGCAUUUAAUGAACAAACAGAAGUUUUUUUUUCUAACAUAAAAUCUAACUUUUUUAACAUACAAAUGCUAUAAGUGGAACAUUAACCUUUAAGACACACAUUGUAAUUUAUUCUUAACACUUUGAACGUUUUAAGUUAAUUUGAACAGAUUUUAUACAAACGUUAACUAUUUGAACAAAUUUUAUACAAUGUAUAAAGUAUAUAUAAAGAGGAUUAGUAUAAUAAUGGGGCAAGGAAAAUUUUUAAAUGUUUAAACUUUUUGUUUUUUUGUUUGUACUUGGGUGUUAUGGAAUAGUUUAAAAGAUUAGGGUUGCUAAUAUAUUUUUUUAGAAUUAUGUUUAUAUGAAAUAUCCUUUGAGUUUUCUAGAUGUGUAUUAUAAAGAGGUUUUUUAAACACUUUCAAAAUAAGCAUUAAGAUUAUAAAAACAUCAAAGAACCGAAGCAAGAACUAAAAUAUCUAUGUAUCUUAACACAUAACAAUAAUAAUAUCUAUGUAUCUAAAACACAUAAUGAUAAAAAGAGAAGCCUUACCUGUAGUUAAAGAGAAUGUAAAAAACUUUACAUACCUGUAAUGAUUACGAUUAACAUUAGAAAUGACAAUGUUUGUGAAACACAUAAACAAUAAAAAGAGAAACUUUGCUAGCCAUGUAUGGUACAUAAGCUUUAUCAUUUAAAGCAUUCAUUGAAGUAGUUAAUUCUACUCAGCGGUUAACUCAACCUACCACACCCAUGCACUAAAUAAUUGGUAAAUUUAUUGUAGAAGUAGUUUUUUUUUUUAAUCCGGAGCGUGGGGUAGAUGAUGGGAUAACUUAUGAAAUAAUAGUAUUUUGUUAAAAUUAUUAUUUUACUGUUAUAUAUUUUAUAUGACACAUCCUUUUUGUUUUUAUGAACAUAAAUUAAUGUAUAUUUUCUGAAAACUAUUAUUUUUUCUGUAUAUAUGUUAUAUACUACAUAUAUCUUUUUAAUUUUGGUGAAGAUUCUUUUACAAAAGGUUGGAGUACAUGUUAAAGUUUUUGCCUUUUGUUUUUAUUUUGUCCAUAAUAAAAGGCAUCAUGGGUGAUAUGAAAAAAUGUGUCUUUUUUGUUUAUUUAAAUGUUAAAAAACAGGUUUUCUAAUUAAAAAAAUUUAGAAACGUUUUGGACUAAUACAUAAAGAAGCUAUAUUUUACCUCACUUGCUCACUUUCUAAAAUUUAGGAUUAAAUACUUUAGAUUGGUAAUUACUGUUUUUUAAAAAGUGGGCAAAUGGGGUAAAAAGUAACUUCUUUAUAUAUUAGUCCAAGAUAUUUCUUUAUAUAAAUAUCAUUUUUUAUAUAUUAGAAAAAAUGUUUCAUCUUCGAAGUCUACCUCAUCUUCGGUAUCAGCCAUCUCUUUCUCCUCACCGUUGCUCACAUCUAUAACUUGCUCCUAAUUCCAUGUGGCAAGGCUUUCCAAUCUCUUGUUGAACCUGAUGGCCUUUUGCUUCUAUCAUAAUAACAAUGUUAAUAAUUUAGUAAUAAAAUAAAGUGUAGAAUAAAAACUAUUUGAUAUUAUGUGAAUUAAAAAAACUGAUUACCAAUUCUCUUAUUUGGUCGAGAUCAUAUACAAAAGAUGAUGCGUGUUUGUCGUAAGAUGAUUUUGUCUCCACAGUUUCCCUUCAUAAAGAAAAACAUGCAGCAAUUUAUUAGAAUGACUAUAGUAUAGGUGAUUUUAUUUUAUUUUAGAACACAAACCUUAAUUUCCAUAGCAAUUUUUGCAUCUUCACUGCUCGGUUGCUGUUGGCCAUUUUUUAUGGGCGCAAGCUCACAUUUGUACGUAAUUUCCUCCUUGUAUAAAAACACAAAGCAUUUCGUUCGCUACAAAUAUAGACAAAAGAAGUACAAUAAGGUUAUUAAUUGAACUUACAUUGGGAGCAGACUGAAUUUUUUUAUUAUGUUUUUAUCUCUUUGUGUGCAGACAUAAACAACACAACAGCUUUGAUGAAGAAAAGGUUUUAAUGCUAACAUUUUCCCAGGACAUGACAUUAUAUUAUUCUAGGUUGUAUUUAUCACAUGUCUUUUAUGCUUUUCCAUAUUUAGGUUAUAGAUUUUAAUGUUCAUUAUGUAAAGUUUACAUGUUUUUAUGCUUCUCCAUUUUCCAGGUUGUAAUUAUAUAUAAUAAUCACGGCCUGUAAACAUAACUGCAAUAUAUUUUUUUAACUUUGU
rnacentral:lncRNA from 1 species